CAUGCAGUCGAGGGGCAGCGCAGUGUAGCAAUACAUGGGCGGCGACCGGCAAACGGGUGCGGAACACGUACGCAACCUUCUUUCAAGCGGGGCAUAGCUUUCGGAAACGAAAAUUAAUACCCCAUAGUAAUGUCUGAGGGCAUCUGAGGACAUUUAAAGAUUUAUCACUUGAAGAUGGGCGUGCGCCUGAUUAGGUAGUUGGCGGGGUAACGGCCCACCAAGCCUACGAUCAGUAACUGGUGUGAGAGCACGACCAGUCACACGGGCACUGAGACACGGGCCCGACUCCUACGGGAGGCAGCAGUAAGGAAUAUUGGUCAAUGGACGCAAGCCUGAACCAGCCAUGCCGCGUGGAGGAUGAAGGUCCUCUGGAUUGUAAACUUCUUUUAUCGGAGAAGAAACCCCUGAAUUCUUUUAGGGUUGACGGUACCCGAUGAAUAAGCACCGGCUAACUCCGUGCCAGCAGCCGCGGUAAUACGGAGGGUGCAAGCGUUAUCCGGAUUCACUGGGUUUAAAGGGAGCGUAGGUGGGCUGGUAAGUCAGUGGUGAAAUCUCCGGGCUUAACUCGGAAACUGCCGUUGAUACUAUCAGUCUUGAAUGUUGUGGAGGUAAGCGGAAUAUGUCAUGUAGCGGUGAAAUGCUUAGAUAUGACAUAGAACACCGAUAGCGAAGGCAGCUUGCUACACAAUUAUUGACACUGAGGCUCGAAAGCGUGGGGAUCAAACAGGAUUAGAUACCCUGGUAGUCCACGCCCUAAACGAUGGAUACUCGACAUAUGCGAUACACUGUAUGUGUCUGAGCGAAAGCAUUAAGUAUCCCACCUGGGAAGUACGACCGCAAGGU
rnacentral:rRNA from 1 species